ACGUAGGUGGCAAGCGUUGUCCGGAUUUAUUGGGCGUAAAGCGAACGCAGGCGGGAAUGCAAGUCAGCUGUGAAAGCCCUCGGCUUAACCGAGGAAGAGCAGCUGAAACUGCAAUUCUUGAGUGCAGAAGAGGAGAGUGGAACUCCAUGUGUAGCGGUGGAAUGCGUAGAUAUAUGGAAGAACACCAGUGGCGAAGGCGGCUCUCUGGUCUGUAACUGACGCUGAGGUUCGAAAGCAUGGGUAGCGAACAGG
rnacentral:rRNA from 1 species